UUUUUUUUUUAUAUACAUAAUGGAUUAGUUUAUUUGUUGCAUCUUUGGCUUUAUGGAUCUGCAAAUAGCAUUCUUGAAUUGUCUUAAAUAUCUAUAUUUUGUUGUAGAAAUAGGAAACAAGAAAGAAUGUCAUACCUGUAAUUAGUCUUACUUUGGUUACUGUUAAAGUUGGGAAUUUAUGAAUAUUAUUCUUUAAUUGGAUUUUUUUUUUAUAUUAACUGUUUGAGUAUGAACUAAUGGUCAUUUUCUUUCUUCACCCUCUUCAGUAUAAAAUUUGGCACGGGUAUAAAUCAUCCGUUUGAAUCCGUGAACACUUAAUUUCUAUUCUUCCUUGAACCAUUCAAAUAUCUUCACCAUCUUUCUAAUGUUUUUCCCAUCUGAUCUUAAGUUUAAAUCAUUAUCUAUCUUUUUUCACCCUCACCAUUUGUAUUUGGUAUGAGUUGAUUAUUUCAAAGUAGCCUCCUAUGCUAAAGUCUAUGAAACCUAAUUAACUUGUCAGAUUUCCAUAUUGAUUAGAAAUUUAGACCGUAAGUGCAAAAUAUUCACAGGGAAAUUCACUCCUGCAAACACCAAAGUCAUUUCCUGCCUUGAAGAUACUGAUUUAGAAUGCAAUAGGCAUAAGAGCAACAAGAAAAAUAGGGUAAGAACAAUUUGUUUAGAUUCAUACCAACCAUUUAACUUGAAAAAUGUGAUGGUUUUGACAACAGCAGCAAUGAAUAACAAUCAUAAAGUUGAAGACCAGAAAGAUGCUCUACUGCCUCAAUAAAACAAUCCAUCUCUCUGAGUGUAUCCUCAAACGAGGAGGAUGAACUUAGUUUUAUGCAUGAAUUGGUAUUAGACAAUCUUGUUUGCAUGACAUGUAUGUACAAUUUAAUUCUAUUUUUUUGCUUAUACCAUAUAACAAUUUAAAAAUUGCAUGCAAGCUAAAUACCUGUUAUAGAUGCUGAUUUUUUUCCUUUUUUUCUUUUAAUCCUUGCAAAUGUUUAAAAAAAGGAUGAUGGGUGCAAGGAAGUGUAACUUUCUGAUUUUGAAGGUUACUAAAGUGUUUGGGGCAGGGGGUAUGAAGGUUCAGAUAAUGUGAUUACUGAUGAGAUGGAGCUCCAGCAACAUCAGAAACUUGAGAAGCUCUACAUAUCAACACAAGCGGGAAAGGUUGCUAGGUCCUCUUAUGCAGUUUUUUAUUCUUAUAAACCUUUUACUUCAAUGGAUCCCCUCAAUUGACUGUUGAUAACAUGAAUUUUUUUUUGCUCAACAUUAUCAAAGGGAUCCCGUGUGGUAGAAGCUCAUAUUGUUACUGGAUCGACGCAAGUUGAACUAGGUUAGUAACAUUGGGAGGCGAAAUUGGUACUUGCUCUUUUUGUUGAUUAAGGGAAGUUAAGCUCAAGGGGAAAGAGAGUUUAGCGGGACUUUACCUUUUUCUAGCUGAUGUGAUAAGUAGGCACGUAAGCCACUAAGUGCAGCAGCAUGGAGACACUUUUUUGGUCUUUUUUAUUUCUAGGAAGUGCAAUUGAGCAGCUUUAGUCGCUUCGGAAAAAAUAUCAGUAGUAGGGGGCCUCUAUCGAAUCCUCAAUUUGCAUGAAUAUGGGAUUGCAGCUUUAGUUAGGGAUUCUAUUAGUAGUCUUCUUUAAGGUACUGGAAGUACUAGACUUGGAACAUCUCGAGAGAUUGCUUGUGAUCAUCUCUUGAUUAAAUCAACAUGUACUGUUCGGAUGAAUUGAGCUGUUCUCUGUUUUUGUUUUAAAUAGUGGGGAAUGUGAUUACUGCUAUUAAUUUUGACAGCUUAAACCCAAAGAUCAUGUGGAAAUGAUUUCACACAUGAGGCCAACCAUAUGGGUUGCUUUGGCUAAUGAAGCACCUGCUUGGGUAUCAUCAUAUAAAAGGAACAAAACCUCAGUACGUUGAACUGUUAGAAGUCUUUAUGACUGCCUUGCAUUGAAU